UGGGGGAGCCGCCAAUGAGGAGAGGGGAGGGUGGCCGCGUCGUGCUCGUGCUGCCUGUGCCGUCGUGUUAGUAGUGGACGAGCGGGGGAGUGCGGCGUGCAGAGUUGUUCUCGCCGCGCGAGAGGAAGCAGAAGCAAAAGCUUGCGAGAAGAGGGUGGGGAGAGGGAGCGAAUUGAUUAGUGUCGCCACUUCUUCUCCACCUCCGUCCUCGCCAAUCCACCAUCAUUGCGCCACCGCCGCAAGAUCUGUGAAGCUCUCUCCUCUCUCUUCUAUCUUCUCUCUCUCCCGCACGGGCGCACGACGCUAGCUGGGAGCCCGUAGGAGAAGCUUCUUUUCUUCCCGCGCGCGCGGCGGCUGGCUGGCUGGCUGGCUUCGCGGCAAAGGCUUGUUGCGGUUGUUCGGUACAGGAAGAGUGUGAGCGAGGCGGCGGUACGGUGCCGCACCCACCACCUCCUCCACCCCCUCCAUUAAAGGCGCUCACGCACCGCCCUCCAGCUUCUUCCUCCACGAGAAAGCGAGCUGAGGGAGGGAGGGAGAGAGAGAGUGCGAGUGAGUCAGUGUGAGCAACACUUCCUCCCCUCACGGGAGCAGCAGCAGCAGCAG
rnacentral:lncRNA from 1 species